UUGGCAGUGAUGAUUGGCGCAGGGGUACGGACCUCAGCUGGAUCAUGGGAGCUGAGUGCAGGCUGCUGUUCUGGUGCAGCCGGCAUGUGGCCAGCUCGCUGGAAGCAGUUUUGCAUGAGACUUUGCCAAAAGCUGAGCCAU